GCGAACGCUGGCGGCAGGCCUAACACAUGCAAGUCGAACGAACUCUUCGGAGUUAGUGGCGGACGGGUGAGUAACACGUGGGAACGUGCCUUUUGGUUCGGAAUAACUCAGGGAAACUUGUGCUAAUACCGAAUGUGCCCUUCGGGGGAAAGAUUUAUCGCCAUUAGAGCGGCCCGCGUCUGAUUAGCUAGUUGGUGAGGUAACGGCUCACCAAGGCGACGAUCAGUAGCUGGUCUGAGAGGAUGACCAGCCACACUGGGACUGAGACACGGCCCAGACUCCUACGGGAGGCAGCAGUGGGUAAUCUUGCGCAAUGGGCGAAAGCCUGACGCAGCCAUGCCGCGUGAAUGAUGAAGGUCUUAGGAUUGUAAAAUUCUUUCACCGGGGACGAUAAUGACGGUACCCGGAGAAGAAGCCCCGGCUAACUUCGUG
rnacentral:rRNA from 1 species